rnacentral:rRNA from 1 species
AAAACCAAUGCCUUCGGGCUCCUUGGUGAUUCAUGAUAACUUAACGAAUCGCAUGGCCUUGCGCCGGCGAUGGUUCAUUCAAAUUUCUGCCCUAUCAACUUUCGAUGGUAGGAUAGUGGCCUACCAUGGUUUCAACGGGUAACGGGGAAUUAGGGUUCGAUUCCGGAGAGGGAACCUGAGAAACGGCUACCACAUCCAAGGAAGGCAGCAGGCGCGCAAAUUACCCAAUCCCGACACGGGGAGGUAGUGACAAUAAAUACUGAUACAGGGCUCUUUUGGGUCUUGUAAUUGGAAUGAGUACAAUUUAAAUCCCUUAACGAGGAACAAUUGGAGGGCAAGUCUGGUGCCAGCAGCCGCGGUAAUUCCAGCUCCAAUAGCGUAUAUUAAGUUGUUGUGGUUAAAAAGCUCGUAGUUGAACCUUGGGCCUGGCUGGCCGGUCCCCCUCACCGGGUGCACUGAUCCAGCCGGGCCUUUCCCUCUGUGGAACCUCAUGGUCUUCACUGACUGUGUUGGGGAACCAGGACUUUUAC